rnacentral:rRNA from 1 species
AUUGAACGCUGGCGGCAUGCCUAACACAUGCAAGUCGAGCGGAUGAAGGGAGCUUUCUCCUGGAUUCAGCGGCGGACGGGUGAGUAAUGCCUAGGAAUCUGCCUGGCAUUUGGGGAUAACGUCCCGAAACGGGCGCUAAUACCGCAUACGUCCUGAUGUAGAAAGUGGGGGAUCUUCGGACCUCACGCUAUCAGAUGAGCCUAGGUCGGAUUAGCUAGUUGGUGGGGUAAAGGCCUACCAAGGCGACGAUCCGUAACUGGUCUGAGAGGAUGAUCAGUCACACUGGAACUGAGACACGGUCCAGACUCCUACGGGAGGCAGCAGUGGGGAAUAUUGGACAAUGGGCGAAAGCCUGAUCCAGCAAUGCCGCGUGUGUGAAGAAGGUCUUCGGAUUGUAAAGCACUUUAAGUUGGGAGGAAGAGCAGUAAGUUAAUACCUUGCUGUUUUGACGUUACCAACAGAAAAAGCAACGGCUAACUUCGUG